CCUACGGGAGGCAGCAGUAGGGAAUCUUCCACAAUGGGCGAAAGCCUGAUGGAGCAACGCCGCGUGGGUGAAGAAGGUCUUCGGAUCGUACAACCCUGUUGUUAGAGAAGAAAGUGCGUGAGAGUAACUGUUCAAGUUUCGACGGAAUCUAACCAGAAAGCCACAGCUAACUACGUGCAAGCAGCAGCGGUAAUAAGUAGGUGGCAAGCGUUAUCCGGAGUUAUUGGGCGUAAAGGGAACGCAGGCGGUCUUUUAAGUCGGAUGUGAAAGCCUUCGGCUUAACCGGAGUAGUGCAUUGGAAACUGGGAGAAUUGAGUGCAGAAGAGGAGAGUGGAACUCCAUGUGUAGCGGUGAAAUGCGUAGAUAUAUGGAAGAACACCAGUGGCGAAGGCGGCUCUCUGGUCUGUAACUGACGCUGAGGUUCGAAAGCGUGGGUAGCAAACAGGAUUAGAUACCCCAGUAGUC
rnacentral:rRNA from 1 species